UCUACAUCUUAUAUCCUACAAUGUUGUUUCUUUCAGAUACUGUGCACAAAAUAUUAUAAACUUCUCACAUAUGAAGAAAUCUUACUUUUUAUUAAAAAAAACAACAAAAACUCCCCAUAAUUCUCAUCAGGCCAGUGGUAUAAUGUCAGUGUCCUUUGUCCAGUACGUCAGAAUCAUAAACGUAGUAAAACAUGAAAUAAUUGUUGACCCAGGAGUUGAAAGCAUGGACUUUCACUUCUCAUUCCCACAUUUUUAAAAAGGUACUGACACCUCCAUUUGUAAAGAAGACCCUGAAGAGUUCAGAGAGAAGACAUUACUGGAAAUGUGUUUUGCUAGAAGAAUUGUGUAUACCGUCACCACAGAGCAUUGAGUAGAGUUCCCUGUGCUAUACAGCCCUGGCUCUGGAGGAUGCUGAAAGAGGAAGACACAGAAGCAGGACGACCCUGAGAGAUUAAGCCUCUUAAUCGUGAAACAGGUAGCUUCUCUGACAUUCUGGGUGUUUGAAUGCUCAUUUCUUUGAUCCUUGUGGUGUGGAAAAUGCCCCACAGAUUGGAGGUCACCUGCACUGGGCCUGGACACCCACAGGCGUGUGUGCAUUCCAGGCAGAUUCUUUACCUUCUGCGCCACUAGGGAAGCCCCCUCAGGGGUGGAUAUCCAGGUGCAAAUGGAAAAUACCCGAUUGACCAAGAGAUGCGCUCUUAAUAUAUUCUCACUUGGAAUAUAUUAAAAGGGAUGUUUCUACUUUAGAACCCAAAUAGGGCUUUUCGUUGAUUUGAGUGAGUGAAACUUUGCAUUAUUAGGUCAGCUACAUGGAACCGAUCAUUGGCUCUGGGGGCUGGAAGGAGCCCAGAAACCCUCCAGUCAAACUUUACCCGUUCUAGAAUUGAAAAGACACAGGGAGAUCAAGUGACUUGCUCACGGCCACUCAUUAGUUCAUGAAAGUGUUUCUUGAAAGUCCGUUGUAUUUUUUCAAGAAAAAAAAACACAAAACCACUGGAAACAGGGCAAAGCAAAAUAUGAGCAAGUGCUAGGAAAAAGCUGUGGAUGACUGCUUAUUUCCCAUUUCUCAGUUUGGAUUCUUUGGGGUUGUGAAUGUCAUAAAACGGAACUCAAAGGGGCUCCCACAGCACAGGGAAUUAAAUGAAGUGACUUGUACCAGCAAAAUGCAGAGAUGGGAUGG
ensembl:lncRNA